GUUUCGAACCACAUAGAGAGACUGAAACAAAUCCUUCCUUGUUGCAGCUAGAUAUUAUUACAGAUUUCACUGUCCGCAUGCAUCUCAGUCUCAGGUAAAAGCGCCUCCAAAUUCUAUUAUUCUCCCGUUGAUUGCACCUACGAAUGAGAACAUAUAAGAGCUAAGGGUUUUGGGUAUAAUCAACCACUGAGUUGGAUUUCAUGAAAAUCUCAGCAAUUCACUGCUGCAGGCACAGACAACGUAGCUGUGCGACUUCAUCUUCUUCGCUACCAUGGAUAUCUCCUCUUAACUUUACAAAACCUGCAGAACCUAAACUAGACCCACCUCCUGAAAUCAGAGGCUCUGAAACGAGGAAGAAGAACAAAUAUAUCACUCAUGACGUUGCUAUAAAUUUGAUCAAACGAGAGAAAGAUCCGCAACAUGCCUUGAAAAUAUUUAACAUGAUAUCCGAACAAAAGGGGUUUUAUCACAACAAUGCUACCUAUGCAUCCAUUCUUCAAAAGCUUGCUCAGUUUAAGAAGUUUCAAGCUGUUGAACGGGUUUUGCAUCAAAUGACCUAUGAAACUUGUAAAUUUCACGAGGGUAUAUUUAUCAACCUUAUGAAGCAUUACUCAAAAUGUUCUUUUCAUGAAAAAGUGCUUGAUACUUUUUUCUCUAUUCAGACAAUUGUUCGUGAAAAGCCCUCUCCCAAAGCUAUCAGCUCUUGUCUCAAUCUCUUGGUUGAUUCCAACCGGGUUGAUUUGGCGCGGCAGUUACUCUUGCAUGCCAAGAGGAGUUUAAUUUAUAAGCCAAAUGUUUGCAUUUUCAAUAUCUUGGUGAAGUACCAUUGCAAAAAGGGGGAUCUUGAGUCUGCUUUUGAAGUUGUUAAAGAAAUGAGGAACUCCAAGUAUUCUUAUCCUAACAUUAUUACCUACUCAACCCUGAUGGACGGUCUCUGUCGAAACGGAAGACUCAAAGAAGCUUUUGAUCUUUUUGAGGAAAUGCUUUCGAAGGAUCAGAUUGUGCCUGAUCCCCUUACUUACAAUGUUUUGAUUAAUGGGUUUUGCCGUGGAGGGAAACCUGAUCGUGCUAGAAAUGUUAUUGAGUUUAUGAAAAAUAAUGGAUGCUGUCCUAAUGUAUUCAAUUACUCAGCCCUAGUUGAUGGAUUAUGUAAAGCGGGAAAACCGGAAGAUGCAAAAGGGGUUUUGGCUGAGAUGAAGAACUCUGGUUUGAAACCUGAUACGGUUACCUACACUUCUUUGAUCAAUUUUUUCUGUAGGAAUGGGCAAAUUGAUGAGGCUAUAGAGUUGCUUAAAGAAAUGAAGGAAAAUGAAUGCGAGGCUGAUACUGUUACAUUCAAUGUGAUACUCGGAGGCUUGUGCAGAGAAGGUAGAUUUGACGAGGCUUUGGAUAUGAUUGAGAAACUCCCACACCAAGGUGUCUAUUUGAAUAAAGGUAGUUACAGGAUUGUACUAAACUCGUUAACUCAAAAAUGUGAGUUGAGGAAGGCAAAUAAAUUAUUAGGAUUAAUGCUAAGUAGAGGGUUUGUACCCCAUUAUGCUACCUCAAAUGAAUUAUUGGUUCGUCUUUGUAAGGACGGGAUGGCUGAUGAUGCUGCUACAGCUCUAUUUGACUUGGUGGAUAUGGGGUUCCAGCCACAACUUGAUUCUUGGGAACUUCUAAUCGAAUUAAUCUGCAGAGACAGAAAAUUAUUGUACGUUUUUGAGCUAAUUGAUGAAUUGGUAACUGCAAAUUCCUGAUGUCUGCAUUGUGGAAUGAUGUUUUAUUUCUCAAGCAAUUUCGGUUUGGAAUCCGUCACUUGAUGCAAAGGAUGAUACAAAAGUGAAUUCAGAUAAACAACAAUGGGCAGGCAAUAGACAUUCUCUACCAACAAUUCCAAUAAAAGAAUUUGAUUUGAUAAAGCCCUUUAGUUAUCUUACUUAUAUUUAAGGGAGAGGAAAAUACAUCACAAAUUCUACUCCAAGCUCCCAUAUGCAUUAGAAAAUCAGAGAAGCUUUGAUAUAACAUUACAAGAAGUUUAGAAUGCUUUAGUUGCAGCUCCAAGAAUAGCAUGGUUUUCAUAUAUCCUGCAAAGAAAGUCAGAUACGGGUGAUAAAUAAAAUUGAGACCAUUAGCCCGAAAAACCAAAAAACCAAGAAAAGCGUGGAAGUGAUUCAGAAUGUCUUUCGCUUGUUAUAUGAGAACGCACAAGAGAUUAUUGAAGGUCAACGUUUAUCAUUGGAGUCCCUAUUUUGACAUUAUUGUUCAUCUUGCUUAAUGGUGGAGAUCUACUUGUAAGAUCACAAUGUAUAUAGAGGAAGAAUUUUAUAAGUCACUUGGAGAAGCAUCUAAUUAUUGGAAGCUACCACACUACCACAGAACCCUGUAUUUUGAUGUGUAACAUGAAUAAACCUCACCAGGGUGAGUGUGCUCGCCUUCCAAGUGAACAUAGUAUCAUUUUUCUCACCAAGUGCUUCAGAAUAGAUGGUACCAAAUGUGUUCAAAUGUGUCUUGUGAACAUUUAUUUGUCUCACAUUGCAUUGCGUUAUAUCCUGUGAAUACUCUGCAUGUCAAAUGUUUCAGGGAAGAUACAAGUGUCACAUGUAUAUGAGUGUCUUGUGUUUUAUGCAUCAUGAUGUGCAUUCACAUUGCAACAACAAUAUCAAUCAAACUUUAUCCCAUUAAAUAAAGUCGGCUACAUGAAUCAAUUUUUAUCA